GAGGAGUCUUUUCAAGGUUGGAAUUGAAUUCCUCCUUUCACAAUCACUUGUACUCCCCCUAUCACGCGUCCUCCCCAAUUUUGGACUUGAGAUAACGGUACAGACCUGUAUCUCCUGAAAAAAAAACAAAAAAAAACUAUUUUUUUUUUCUGGUACCCAGUGACAUCGAAGUUUCCUGUGCUGCUCAAACACAUUCGUGCCUCACUGCAUCAGUCUGUCUAAACAGGCCGGGGCGCUGAUGGACUACAGAAUCUUUUCGAUUCAUCCUGGAGAACUGGGCAGAGGACCGAGCAGGAAAAUGGACCCAAGAACCUCGUCCAUCCAGCAGCCACGCCAGAAGCACCAACUAAAUCUAAAAACCACAGAUUCAAUUAACUAAUCCUCUUCCUAGAAGUGCCAAGAAGAAAUAAUCUUGUCACUAUCCCCUUUGCCAUGAGCCCCGAUCCAAAGCUCAAUAUGCUUUUGAUUUUCCUAGAGUCUUCAAAAAAAAAAAAAAAAAAAAAACCAGAAAUGUUAUUUCAGGGCCACUCCCUGUUUUCCACAUUCUUGACAGAGGCAAUAAGGUGGAGGAGAAACCAGCCCAGCAUCAAAGAAGAACCCCCAUCUGUUCCAAUAGAGACACGACUGGAUAGACCAUCAACACAGAUUGUUCUUGUCUGCGGCUCCUCUGGAACUGUUGUUGCUCUUCUUCCAUCUCUAAGUUGUGUCCAAGUCUUUGUGACCCCAUGAACUGCAGCAUGGCAGGCUUCUUUGUCUCCCUGUAUUUCCUAGAGUUUGCUCAAAUUCACGUCCGUUGAGUUGGUGAUGCUAUCUAACCAUCUCAUCCUCGGUCACCCCCUUCUCCUCCGGCCCUCAAUCUUUCCCAGUGUCAGGGUGUUUUCCCAAUGAGUCAGCUCUUCGCAUCAGGUGGCAUAGGUGGCCUCUUUGACUGUGGACCCCACUUAAACAUUUCCCCUGCACAUUUUGAAUGACUCAGGAUAAAGCUAGUCAGAGGGAGUCAAAGGCAGAACUCUCCCAGGAAGUGGGCAGGUAGGGCCAGCCCUGCUUCCCCAGGAAAGCCCUGGGGAAGGACCUGUGGGCACAGCCACAUGUCCCUCUAAGGAUGACUAUUUUGUGUAGAACAUUUCUUCCAGCACAAGGCAGGUCAGGAGCCCCAGCCUGCACAACUCCAGGUCUGUCUGCCACUCCCUGGCAGCACCUCGGGCCCUCGGCUCCCUGCUCUCCACUAUUUCCUUUCCAUGAACUUUAACUACGCUUGGGCAGAUCCGUGAGAAUAAAUUAAGAACCAAACAGACA
rnacentral:lncRNA from 1 species